GCCGAGAGGGGGCAGCAGGCGAUGGCGGCGGCGGCGGCGGCGGCUCCUCUAGGCUGGUUGCUCGCCGCGCUGUGCCUGGGCAACGCCGCCGUAGAGGCGGCGUCGGGCCCGCGAGUGUUGGGCGUCUGUCUGGAGGAGGACGGAGCCGCGGACGUGGGGUGGGAGCGCGGAGAAGAGGUGCGGACUGCACGGGAGGCCACCUUCCGCCUACGCCUUUUCGGCUCCGGCUUGGCCAACAGCUCCUGGUCCUGGGUGGCCCCCGAGGGGGCGGGCUGCCCCGAGGGCGGGCCGGCCGCGGCGCCCGAGGAGGCAGUGGCCCCCACGGGCGAGUGGCGCGCACUGCUGCGCCUGCGCGCCGAGGCCGCGCGCCCGCACUCGGCGCUGCUGGCGGUGCGCGGGGAGCGGGACGCGUCGGCGGCCGAGGAGGCGGUGGCCCCUGCGGGCGAGUGGAGCGCGCUGCUGCGCCUGCGCGCCGAGGCCGUGCGCCCGCAUUCCGCGCUGCUGGCGGUGCGCGUGGAGCCAGGCGGCGCGGCAGCCGAGGAGGCGGCGCCGCCCUGGGCUCUGGGCCUGGGGGUGGCGGGGCUGCUGGCGCUGGCGGCGCUGGCGCGGGGCCUGCAGCUGAGCGCGCUGGCGCUGGCGCCGGCCGAGGUGCAGGUGCUCCGCGAGAGCGGCUCGGAGGCCGAGCGUGCGGCGGCGCGGCGCCUGGAGCCCGCGCGGCGCUGGGCCGGCUGCGCUCUGGGCGCGCUGUUGCUACUGGCCAGUCUGGCGCAGGCGGCGCUGGCGGUAUUGUUGUAUCGCGCGGCCGGCCAGCGCGCCGUGCCCGCCGUGCUGGGCAGCGCAGGGCUCGUGUUCCUGGUGGGUGAGGUGGUGCCGGCUGCCGUGAGCGGACGCUGGACGUUGGCGCUGGCGCCGCGCGCGCUGCUCCUCAGCCGCCUCGCGGUGCUGCUGACACUGCCCGUGGCGCUGCCCGUUGGCCAGUUGCUGGAGCUGGCGGCGCGGCCCGGGCGGCUGCGGGAGCGCGUGCUGGAGCUGGCCCGCGGCGGCGGCGACCCCUACAGCGAUCUCAGCAAGGGCGUGCUGCGCUGCCGGACCGUGGAGGACGUGCUCACGCCGCUCGAGGACUGCUUCAUGCUGGACGCCAGCGCCGUGCUGGACUUCGGCGUCCUGGCCAGCAUCAUGCAGAGCGGCCACACGCGCAUUCCAGUGUACGAGGAGGAGCGCUCCAACAUCGUGGACAUGCUCUACCUCAAGGACUUGGCCUUCGUGGAUCCCGAAGACUGCACGCCGCUCAGCACCAUCACCCGCUUCUACAACCAUCCGCUCCACUUCGUCUUCAACGACACCAAGCUGGACGCUGUCCUGGAGGAGUUCAAACGAGGGAAGUCCCACCUGGCCAUCGUGCAGAAGGUGAACAAUGAGGGUGAAGGUGACCCCUUCUACGAGGUGCUGGGCCUGGUCACCCUGGAGGACGUCAUUGAGGAGAUCAUCAAGUCUGAGAUCCUGGACGAGUCUGAGGACUACCGAGACGCUGCCGUGAGGAAGAAGCCCACUCCUCUGAGUGCCCCUGUCAAGCGGAAAGAGGACUUCUCCCUGUUCAAGGUGUCUGAUGAUGAAUAUAAAGUGAAGAUCUCGCCUCAGCUGCUCUUGGCCACCCAGCAAUUCCUGUCCCAAGAGGUGGAUGUGUUCAGCCCCUUGCGGAUCUCUGAGAAGGUCCUGCUGCACCUGCUGAAGCAUCCCAGCGUCAACCAGGAAGUGAGGUUUGAUGAGAGCAACCGUCUAGCUGCUCACCAUUACCUGUACCAGCGCAGCCAGCCAGUGGACUACUUCAUUCUCAUCCUGCAGGGCAGGGUUGAGGUGGAGAUCGGGAAAGAGGGCCUGAAGUUCGAGAAUGGGGCCUUCACCUACUAUGGAGUGUCUGCCCUGACAGCACCAUCCUCGGUUCACCAGUCCCCGGUGUCCUCGCUCCAGUCCCUCCGCCACGACCUGCAGCCCGAGCCAGUUGAUGGUGCCCGCUUGUCUGCGUACUGUCCUGACUACACCGUGAGGGCCCUCUCCGACCUGCAGCUCAUUAAGGUCACGAGGCUGCAGUACCUCAAUGCACUCCUGGCUACUCGAGCCCAGAGCCUGCCACAGUCCCCGGAGAACGCAGACCUCCAGGUCAUCCCAGGCAGCCAGACCAGGCUCCUUGGGGACAAGACAGCCACAGCAGCAGCCUUCCCCGUAGACCUUUCCCUCUUUGGCACAUUUGGAAACUGCAGUUGAUAAUUGACUGUGGACUAGUGAGCAUUUUUUGUUUUCAGAAAACACCCAAGGGCCGCACCACAGCAGACCCGGCCUCCCAGCAGAGGAGAGCCCUGGGCGGAACCCAGGGGUUUAACUGCUUGCCAGGCAGCCCCAGGUCUGGGGAAUGGACAAGCACUUGGGGAACUGGAGAGCCGAGGAGUAGCUUCCUGUCAGCCUGUCCCCAGCCCCUUCAGGCCACGUUUUAGAUGGCCCUUAUAGAUGUGGGUCCUGGGCUGUCCUCAGAACCAGACUUCAGUGCCAGGAGCCUUCAGCAGUCCUGCCCUCCUUUAGGAAAUGGGGGUCAGUUGGGGCACAGCCCUCCAGCCCUGCUUCUGAAUGGGAAUGAAAAGGACACCGUCCUCUCUGGUCCCCAGGACCCAGCCUUCUCCCCGUGACAGUGCAGUGUAUUUAUACCUCUUUGGGCCAAGCCAUGAUGUGAGUGCACGAUUAUUGCCUUUAUGUGGCUGUGACCUGUACUCACUUCGCUUUUAAUUUGCCAGCCUUCUGCUGCUGGCAGCACUUUCCGAGCAAACCAGGGGCACUAGGUUGGGCUGGGGGUUCACAUCCUUGGCCACAGUGAACUAUUUGGCUUCCCUUACAAUGCCAUGUUUCCAAGCACGUGCCCCAGCCUGUCCCACGUGCCAAACCUUGAAGCUCAGUGACCCACCAGUAUGUCCCACUGUCCUGCUCCCUCCCGUGGAGGUUGCUUCUCUGAGCUCUGCACUCAGAGCCCCAAGCAAACAAGCUGGCCCCCAGUGGCACUGAGGAGGCCUGCUCCUUCUGCUUCUCUGCCUGUCUUACUUAGUUGCCACUAACAGUAUUGUAACUUUCUGUGUUUGAAGAAGAGAGGUCAUACUUGGGAGGACAGGGUGUGCUGCCCCUAACCCUCUCUCAAUUGCUGGAUCCCGGGGAGUGUAGCCAACCGUUAGGCCUACUUUGUACCUCCUUCCUGGGCCUCCAUGGAGAGCUGGGUGGCUGCCAUCUGCAUGGAGAGCAGCAAGGAGGAGAAGGGUUGGUUGUGGAGCAGGUAGAGCCUCAUCCCCUUUCUUUAAAACAAUACAAACAAAAACUCUCAUCGGUUUUUCUUGUAUCUGUAACAUUUCAGCUCUUUGCUUUUUUUUUUUGCUGUUCUUAGCUACAGGGUUUUAGAGCAUUGGGAACAAGAAGGCAUUUAUGUUUUCUUUCUGGUUUACCCAUUCUUACCUCCUGCAGUUCUUCAACUGUGUAGAAACUGGGGCGUCACAGAGACCUAGUGUUGCAGAUUGGAUAGGAGGGAGGAGGACUUCUAGAGGCUUCUCAGAGGAAUUCAGGUCCCUUAUCUGGGACCAGUGGGAAUGAAGGCCAAAGAACAAUGGCAUGCUCGCUUAGAAACUUCUCAAGGAAUACUAAGAGCAAACCCAGGUGGGAAACAUUUUACGAUCAUCUUUCUCUAGAACAGUGGUUCUUAACUUUAGCUGCAUGUUAGAAUCACCUGGCAAAUUGAAAAAUACUGAUACCUGAUAUCUGGGGCUCCCUCUUUGAGGGAGCCUGAUUUGGUUAAUCUGAGGAUCAGGAUUUUAUUUUUUCAAACAAUUUUAAUUAAAACAAAAAACUAUGCUUUUUUUUUUUCCUCUUAAGUCACCUGCACACCCAGUAUGGGGCUUGAACUCCCAACCCUGAGAUUAAGAGUCGUGUGCUCUACCGACUGAGCUGGCCAGGCACUUCUGAAACAAUUUUAUUGUACAUAAGAGUGAAGAGUUCUAUCUACCCUUCACCCAGCUUCCCUUAAUGUUAACAUCUUACAUAACCUGGUACAUCUAUCAGAACUAAAAAAAUUAACAUCUGUACAAACCUGUGAACUGAAUUACAGAGUUCAUUGGAUCUUAUCAGUUUCCAGUAAUGUCCUUUUUCCGUUGCAGGAUCCAAUCCAGGAUACCAAGUUGCAUUUAGAGUUAUUGCUUACUCUUAUCUGACUUGUUUUGAAAUAAUUACAGAUUUGUAGGAAGUUGCAAGCUGGAGGGACCCUUCACCCAGUUUUCCUCCAUGGUUAUUCUUGCACAGUUAGAACACAGUAUCAACACCACGAAGGUGACACUGGCCAAGUGUGAGGAAUCGUUCUCUGUCCUCCUGGGUAGAUUUGUGUAGCUGCCACUGCACUCUCAGUAGAGCUGUCCCACCACCACAAGGGUCUCUCUCGGAGCUCCCCGUUAGAACCCCAGCCACCCGCAUGGCCUCCAUCCCCAAUCCCUGGCAACCACUAAUCUAAGAUUUUGUCAUUUCAACAACAUUGUAUACAGUGUGUGACCCACCAGUCACCAGUUCGGGAUUGGCUUUUUUCAUUCUGCAGAAUAUUCCAGAGACGGUUCCAGGUUGUUGUGUGUGUCGGUAGCUCAUUCCUUUUUAUUGCUGCGUAGUAUUCCUUGGUAUGCUCACUGUCCCGUUGAAGGACGUCUGGGUGGCUAUUCCAAAUAAAGCUGCUAUGAACAUUCCUUACA